CCGUGUUAUAAAAUUCUGAAAAAGAACCAGUCUGUUGGAGGAAGAUGCAGCGAAUGCAGAGAGCGGAAUAAAUAUUUUCGGCAAAUAAAUCAAUAAAGCGAAUGCAUUAAGCAUAUAAGUGAAAAAAUAUAAUGUAAUUAUGCUAACAGGUGAAGUGCAAGAAGAAGCAGAAGUGAAGUGUGAGUGAAGUGAAGUGCAGUUUAAAUGAAAAGAAGAGAAAGAGUGGCGGUAGAGCAGUAGGAACUAGGAAUAGCAAAUCUGCCAAAUAAGUGAAUAAUUCCUAUAAGAGAUAAAUAUAUAUCCUUUAAAUAUAAAGACAAUUUUAUAAUUUUUUUCCAGUGUUAUACAGUGUUAUACAAUCUUAAAAAGAAGUAGCAUGAAAAUGAAAAAUGGGCAGCAAGGCUCUAAGUGUAGUGCAGUGUAAGUGAAGUGAAGUGCAGUGUAAGUGCAGUGUAAGUGAAGUGAAGUGCAAGGAAAAAUAUCUGUUUGGCUGGAAAGGGGCUAAUAGGCGCAACGAUAAGCAAGUCUGGAAGACGAGUACAACGAGGAGCCACAAGGAACAAGGCUGGAAGAUGAAUGCAAAUCUCUCAAAAAGAAAGCAAAUGCUUGAAACACAUUGUUAUGCAACGAUAAACUUAUACUUUGGGAACACGUCGCAAAAUGAGAAGCUAAAGUAAAUGAAGAAGAAGAUUUAUCCGGAAAAGGUUAUACCGUGUUAUAAAAUUCUGAAAAAGAACCAGUCUGUUGGAGGAAGAUGCAGCGAAUGCAGAGAGCGGAAUAAAUAUUUUCGGCAAAUAAAUCAAUAAAGCGAAUGCAUUAAGCAUAUAAGUGAAAAAAUAUAAUGUAAUUAUGCUAACAGGUGAAGUGCAAGAAGAAGCAGAAGUGAAGUGUGAGUGAAGUGAAGUGCAGUUUAAAUGAAAAGAAGAGAAAGAGUGGCGGUAGAGCAGUAGGAACUAGGAAUAGCAAAUCUGCCAAAUAAGUGAAUAAUUCCUAUAAGAGAUAAAUAUAUAUCCUUUAAAUAUAAAGACAAUUUUAUAAUUUUUUUCCAGUGUUAUACAGUGUUAUACAAUCUUAAAAAGAAGUAGCAUGAAAAUGAAAAAUGGGCAGCAAGGCUCUAAGUGUAGUGCAGUGUAAGUGAAGUGAAGUGCAGUGUAAGUGCAGUGUAAGUGAAGUGUAGUGCAAGUGAAGUGAAGUGCAACGAAAAAUAUCUGUUUGGCUGGAAAGCGGCUAAUAGGCGCAACGAUAAGCAAGUCUGGAAGACGAGUACAACGAGGAGCCACAUAGAACAAGGCUGGAAGAUGAAUGCAAAUCUCUCAAAAAGAAAGCAAAUGCUUGAAACACAUUGUUAUGCAACGAUAAACUUAUACUUUGGGAACACUUCGCAAAAUGAGAAGUGAAACUAAAUGAAGAAGAAGAUUUAUCCGUAUUUAUCUUGAAACACAUUAUUAAGCAACUAUCAACUUAAACCUGGGAAACACUCGCAAAAUGAGAAGUGAAACUAAAUGAAUAAGAAGAUUUAUCCGUAUUUAUCUUGAAACACAUUAUUAAGCAACUAUCAACUUAAACCUGGGAAAAACUUCGCAAAAUGAGAAGUGAAACUAAAUGAAGAAGAAGAUUUAUCCGUAUUUAUCUUGAAAUAUAUUGUUAUGCAAAGAUGAAUUUAUAUUUUGGGAUCACGUCGCAAAAUGUGAAGCGAAACUAAAUGAAGAUUUAUCCGG